AUGGGAUCAUUAACGCUGGAUUGGCCUUGAUGACAAACUAUGUCUGUGGCGGCAAAAUGUAGUCCAAGUGUGGUCGAAAUUGCGCCUAACAUCGGAUAUGUUAGUAUACACACCGCCAUUUUAUUGUGAUGUACACACAACCCAUAACACUGAAAGAUGUUUUACAAAAAUACGAUAUUUUAUAGAAUGUUGCAUUUUAUUGUUUCCGAAAAAGUCCGAAUCGAGUGUUCCUGUAUGCAUUGCCAUUUCGGUUGUGAAGACACGAAAACUAUAAAACUGAAAGAUGGUUUACAUGAAACAAUAAUAUUCUAUCAAAUGUUGC
rnacentral:lncRNA from 1 species